rnacentral:rRNA from 1 species
AGGGAAACCGAGUCUUAACUGGGCGUUAAGUUGCAGGGUAUAGACCCGAAACCCGGUGAUCUAGCCAUGGGCAGGUUGAAGGUUGGGUAACACUAACUGGAGGACCGAACCGACUAAUGUUGAAAAAUUAGCGGAUGACUUGUGGCUGGGGGUGAAAGGCCAAUCAAACCGGGAGAUAGCUGGUUCUCCCCGAAAGCUAUUUAGGUAGCGCCUCGUGAACUCAUCUUCGGGGGUAGAGCACUGUUUCGGCUAGGGGGUCAUCCCGACUUACCAACCCGAUGCAAACUGCGAAUACCGAAGAAUGUUAUCACGGGAGACACACGGCGGGUGCUAACGUCCGUCGUGAAGAGGGAAACAACCCAGACCGCCAGCUAAGGUCCCAAAGUCACAGUUAAGUGGGAAACGAUGUGGGAAGGCUCAGACAGCCAGGAUGUUGGCUUAGAAGCAGCCAUCAUUUAAAGAAAGCGUAAUAGCUCACUGGUCGAGUCGGCCUGCGCGGAAGAUGUAACGGGGCUAAACUGUGCACCGAAGCUGCGGCAGCGACGCUUAUGCGUUGUUGGGUAGGGGAGCGUUCUGUAAGCCUGCGAAGGUGUCCUGUGAGGGAUGCUGGAGGUAUCAGAAGUGCGAAUGCUGACAUAAGUAACGAUAAUGCGGGUGAAAAGCCCGCUCGCCGGAAGACCAAGGGUUCCUGU